AUUUUAUAAAUUUUAUUAAUAAAUUUUAAAAUAUAGUUAAUUGUAUUUGAAUAGAAUUUACGAAUUUUGGAAAUAAAUAAUAUAAUUAACGUAUAUUUAUUUAUUACAUUUUAAUAUUUUCAACGAUUUACGAAAUUGAAAAUGAUUUUAGAAUUUUAAGUUAAAACGAAUUCGAAUUACGAAAUUCCGUUCGAUUGAAAUUAGGAAGCAAUCCUAACCAUUUUGGAUUCAACAAACUAAAUCUUAAUCCUAGCCCAAGUAGUAAAGCCCAAGUUAAAUAAACUACCAAGUAAACCCAUAACCCUCUCCUUGUUUUUACUUCACGUAAAACUCAAAUCCCAAACCCUCCUUAUUCCUCCUCCUUCACGUGAAACCAACCUCCUCCCUCUCCUCCUUGCAGCCCCCUCUCCGCCUGCGUCAACCACCAUCAACAGCCGCCGCCGCGACCACCCUUCCACCUGCACGCCGCCGUCGGUAACUCUCCUCUCCCCUCUGUUUCUUCUUCGAUCUCCCUUUCCGUUUAUCACUCCUCCUCUCCCCUUAAUUGUGGCUUUCGUUUUUCGCACAACCACCACCGAGGACCACCAGCAUUCGUCACUACGCCCAGCCACGCACCACCGUGUGCGGCUCUGCCACCAGCCGUCCUCCGUCGCCACCACCGCGCGCACCACCGCCCCAUUGCCGCGCGCACCACCGCCCCAUUGACGCCGCGCCGCCGCGCCGCUGAACCACCUCCGGCCAGCCUUCUUUCCUUCUCUCUUUUGGCGGAGAAUUCUUUGUGGGCGACUUUUGAAAGUGUUAAAGUGGCCUAUCAGUUUGUUUACACAAGUCUCUAAGGAUCAAUAAGCGUUGCCCAUCUACAGGUUUGAAGAUGAUGCAUCAUUGGGAUCAGUAUUAGAGAGCUUGUAGUUCUAUUCGUUUAAUUAAGUGAUUUAAUUUGUUAACUUGGAUUUGAAAUUUGUCGUACUAUUCGUAUUUCCUUAAUUCAGUUAAUUGUUUUGGACCUAAUGUGUAAUAGAUUAUUUAUGAACCUAAAAGUUAGUUUUAUGUUUUCCGCUGCAAAAUUCUGAAUAAGCCGUAACGUUUUCACACGGGCGAUAAUACUUUGAUAAUUCCCUACAGUUAUAUUUAAAAAGAGGUUAUUUUAGAAAA